UACGAAGGGGGCUAGCGUUGUUCGGAAUUACUGGGCGUAAAGCGCGCGCAGGCGGUUCUCCAAGUCAGGGGUGAAAUCCCGAGGCUCAACCUCGGAACUGCCUUUGAUACUGGGGAUAUCGAGUCCGGGAGAGGUGAGUGGAACUCCGAGUGUAGAGGUGAAAUUCGUAGAUAUUCGGAAGAACACCAGUGGCGAAGGCGGCUCACUGGCCCGGUACUGACGCUGAGGUGCGAAAGCGUGGGGAGCAAACAGG
rnacentral:rRNA from 1 species